ACUUAUCCUGUCCUUGUUACUGAUUUUAAUAAUACUUCCUGGCAGGGUGUGGUGGUUCAAUUUGCUAAUACUUUAUUUGAACCUUGCAUCUGUUCUUAAAUGAAAUGGGCUUUUGCCUUUUCUUCAGUUGUUCUUGAUCAGAUAUAUGUAAUAUUUUCUUAAAAUAUUUGGGCUAAUCUCAUACAGUGAGCUAGGUAACAAGAGUUUAGUGAGGUACCAAAUCUAAAACAGGUAGGCAGAUUGUUUUUUCUAUUCUCUUUCCCAAUUUGGGUCUUCCUGAAGCUAGGAUAAGGCCAGAGCUCCUUACUCAAGAUCACCCUUCCCUAUCCCCCAAACACACACAAUAUUCCCAAAGUGUCAUUGUUCAAGUUCCAACGUGGGGCUAACUCCUAGGAGCUUGAUCCUCCUACUGGGGCUACUGGUGUUAAUGGCCAUGAGGCCUUGUGAGAGCACGUUCGUGACAGUCCAACUCAAAGAAACUAGGAGAAAGUAUUAAGUGAUGGAGAAUUAAACCUUAACUACCGAGCCUUAACUUCCUUAAAUGAAAAAUGAAACUUAUUACCACCUAAGUCACAUGUGUGUUUUGUGACGUCCAUGAUAAAAUUUUGAAAAAGCACCCAGUACGCUGGGUGGCACAAACACACAGCGGGGCGAGGGCCCCUACAGCAGCGACAACCUUAACGGAGUGACCCUCAGCUGUCGUCUCAGUGCCUCCUUCACGGCUGGAAACGGCGAGGACGCUAACACAACCCUAACUGGCCGGGACGCAGCUUGAACGGUUUAACGGCCCCGAGCGCUGGGAACCCAUCCCGGCACAUGCGCCCUGACGGACUGGUCGCUUUUAACGACUGCUAUUCACUUUCCGACUGCCUCUCCGCCAGAGGAGCGUCGGACCGCUUGACCGUCACCAACUCCUCGAACUCUGGGGCGCCUCGGCCUUCUCCCGCGCCAACCUGGCGCGAAGACCUGGGACACCGCGCGCACCUGGACCAGCAAACCCAAAUUACUGCCUCGGGCGCUAGAUCGCAGCAAAAUGUCCGCUCCACGCGCAGGCGCAGCACGUGCAGCCCCCUCCACCCCGGCUCAAGACUCCGCCCCCAGGCUCCCGCACUGCCCGCCCCUCCCAGGGUCGCGGCUCAGGAUUGGUUCAGGGGCUGCGCAGGCUCUGAUUGGGCGAGGCGGAGUCACCAGGGCGCCGUAUCUUUACGUGGCCGUCUUCCCUGCGCGCCUUGGAUCGGGGGUAAUAGUUGAGAGGGUGUCGCCAGCGUGUCGGCGCCCGCGGUUUUCUUCGGGCUCUCCCAGGGCGUCGUACCCGCGUCCGUGACGCGCGGUGGCUUCCAGGGGCGCACGGCCUAGGCCCUUGCCGGGCUCUGGGAGGGCAGGGCCCUACACCAGCGAUAGCCUUAAAGGAAAACCUGUUAGGGACAAGGGCUGCUGUGGGCAGCGAGGGUUGUAGACUCAUUUGUGUUCUGAAUUCUGGUGGGGGUAGUGAUGGACGCUGCCCCAGUUCACAGAAUUAUCUGAUUGGGGAAGUAAAGGUACUUGAAUUGCAGGUACUGUUUUUGGCCCUUUGUCCCCUUUAUUUUGGCCCAGUGGGCUUCCAUUUGAGUAGUCUGUAGUGGAACUAUUAAAAAAAAAAAAAAAACAGUUAUUUGAAAACACUUGAUGGAUCAGAAUGAGAGGAAUAGGAAGGAAUUCCUGGGAAUUUGUCCUUUUUUUUUUUUUUUUUUUCUUAAGGAGUUUCCACUUGUCGAUUGUGGCAAAAGAUGAGGUAUGGGAGACCUCACCUACAACAUCAAAAAUCACCUUUUGUAUUUGUUUUUCUGUUCGCUGGUGUGAGUAAAAGAUACCAAAUGAAAAUUAAAAGUUAAGAUGAGGCCUAACAUAAGUUUAUUCCAAAUGCCAAUUUACUGUUGGAAAUACUAAGAGGCAAAACGUGCCUGGCUUGGAAUGUAUGAUGGCCCUGUCAUGUGCCUAAUAAUAAUCUUGUCCAUUUUGAGCAGGAAAAAAAAUCAAGGUGAACUGAAGAAAUAAGUCUUUCCCCAAAGGAGGUAGAAGAUGGGGAAGAUGAGAUGUCAGAAGCUAAGGACAAUGGCAGUAGAGAUGAGGUGCAGCCAUUGUACAAGGGCUUUAUGCCAGGGGUCCCCAAGCCCUGGGCCACAGACUGGUACUGGUCUAUGGACUGUUAUGAACCGGGCCGCACAGCAGGAGGUUCUUGUCCCUCAUAAGAAUUGCAGGAAGAACACAACUGUCCCAGGAAAGAAAGGGGAGGAAAAGUCCUGGCUCCUGUGUUUGCUGAAAAGUUAAUAUCACCAAGCAGGAGGGGAGCCACGCUCAAGGACUGUGAGAGCCACCAGGAGAAUGAAGACAGGAACAGUGAGUCGGACCAGGAUGAGGAAGAACCUAUCAAAGAAACACCUGAUAAACAAAAGAAGGAAAUGGCCAAUCAGAAAGAUUCCCCUGGAGCCAAAAAGCAGAAAUUAGAAGCAACUGAACCAUGUAUAGCACUCCAACUGUUUUUUGGAAACUUGGAUUUCAACAAAACUGCUGCUGAACUAAAAGCUGGCCUCAGUGAAUUUUUUGCUAAAAAUGAUCUUGAAGUUGUUGGUGUCAGAGUUGGCUUGUCCAGAUCAAAAUGCCAAAACACUUUUGAUCAAGAACCUGCCUGACAAAGUCAUUCCACAUGAAUUAAGUGUUUGAGGAUGCUUUUCAAAUCAGAUUAGUGAGCAAAGAUGGGAUGAGUAAAAGGUAUGUUUUGCACCUUGUACUGAAUAAGAAUGUAUGUCUACUGGAUACAAACAUAAUGGAAUUUCCUUACAUUCUCUCAAAUCUUUUAUGCCUGAUUUUAGAGAAGGAAAGAGUAGUUAUCCAGAUUUCUGCCAGUAGGCAUAAAAAGCUGAAGGAGACAUCAUAAAGGGACAGCUAAAACUCCUAGAAAACUGUAGUGGUGCUAUAGAGAAAUAGAGACUUCAUCUGCUACCAAGUACAAGAUUGAAGAUUGGAAUUUAUUCAUAGAUUAUGUACAUUCCUUCUUCUCUCUCCAGGGCUGACUCCACUAGGAUAAUGUACCUGGUAACUUGCUUGGACAGGUACCAAAAUAGAACAUAGAAUUGAAUUGUUAGGUUUAUGUUGUAACCAAUUAAUGAAACACUGUCCUUAGGUAUCUAGGCUUUGGUAGAGUAAGAGAGUGAAUAUGGUGAAAUUAGAGAGGGUGGAGUAUAAUAUAUUUUGGAGGGAUUGUCAUUGAGGUGAAAAUUGAAUAUUGGGUUUAUAGAUACAUUUGAGCUAAAUGUGUUGGUGUAGGUGAACUCUAAAAUAAUCUGUAGCAGUAUGUUCUGAUGAAUGUAAUCUCUAGAAAGAAUACUACAGAUCUAACAAGCAUAAGAUAGAACUAUAUGUAUUGACCUGGAAAGCCAUGAUAAAUAUAGGAAAACAAAUCUGAAAGAAUAAAUUCCAAAUUGUUAGCAGUGUUUACCAGGAGGAGAUUUGGGAGCACUCUGCUUAUAGUCUCCAGAAAGCAAGCAAACAAAUUCCUGCCAAAAGCUAUAUAAUUUCUCAGAGUUUAAUUAGGUUUUAAUUAAAUAUACUUGAAUCUUUAUAAUCAUUUCUCUACCUGAAGAAUUACUGUAUCACUUCUCAGCCUUUUGGCUAAGAUCAAGUGUAGUAUCUGUUUUUUCAGUUUAAUAUCUGAUAUGUACUAAAUUAAAAAUAAUAAAAAAUAAAUGGGAGAUAAGAGAAACCAGAGAUCCAUGGCCAUGUGAAAUAAAGCAUAGUACCUAUGCCAGAAAAGAGUGUGGUGCAGGCUGGACAUGGUGGCUCAUGCCUGUAAUCCCAGCACUUUGGGAAGCCGAGGCCGGCGGAUCAUGAGGUCAGGAGAUUGAGACCAUCCUGGCCAACAUGGUGAAACCCCAUCUCUACUAAAAUACAAAAAAUUAGCCAGGCGUGGUGGCACGCUCCUGUAGUCCCAGCUACUCGGGCGGCUGAGGCAGGGGAAUUGCUUGAGCCCGGGAGGCAGAGGUUGCAGUGAGCCAAGAUUGGGCCACUGCACUCCAGUCUGGUGACAGAGGGAGACUCCGUCUCAAAAAAACAAAACAAAACAAAAAAACAGAAUGUGGUGCAUUAUGUUUAAGAAUCUGACUCAGACCAGGCACAGUGGCUCAUGCCUAUAAUCCCCAGCACUUUGGGAGGCCGAGGCGGGGGGAUCACCUGAGCUCAGAAGUUUGAGACCAGCCUGGCCAACAUGGUAAAACCCUGUCUCUAUUAAAAAUACAGAAAAUUAGCCAGGCGUGGUGGUACACACCUGUAAUCCCAGCUACUCAGGAGGCUGAGACAGGAGAAUCACUUCAACCCGGGAGGCAGAGGUUGCAGUGAGCCGAGAUCUUGCCACUUCACUCCAGCCUGGGCAACGAGCAAAACUCUGUCUCAAGAAGAAAGAACCUGACUCGAUAUGUCCUUAUUCAUACCUUUCACCAAAUUAAAUUACAGGUUCGUUAGAGAUUUCAUGUAAAAUAUGAAACCAUAAAGUAUUAGAGGAAGACAUAGAGAAUAUUUUUGGGUUUUGUUUAAUAAUCUGCAGGAGAGGAAGGCCUUUUUAAAUAUGACACAAUCCUGGAAGUCCCAAAAGAAAAGAUACAUAAAUUUGGCCAGGCACAGUGACUCAACCUGCAAUUCCAGUACUUUGGGAGGCCGAUGCGGGUGGAUCACCUGAGGUUAGGGGUUCAAGACCAGCCUAGCCAACAUGGUGAAACCCUGUCUCUACUAAAAAUACAAAAAAAUUAGCUGAGCAUGAUGGUGGGCGCCUGUAAUCCCAGCUACUUGGGAGGCGAAGGCACGAGAAUCACUUGAAUUGGGGAGGUGGAGAUUGCAGUGAGCCGAGACUGCACCACUGCACUCCAGCCUGGGCAACAGAGUGAGACUACAUCUCAAAAAAAAAAAAAGUACACCAGACCAGGCAUGGUGGCUCACACCUGUAAUCCCAGCACUUUGGAAGGCUGAGGUAGGUGGAUCACCUGAGGUCAGGAGUUUGAGACCAGCCUGGCCAACAUGGUAAAACCCUGUUUCUACUAAAAAUAGAAAAAAUUAGCUGGUCGUGGAGGCAGGCACCUGUAGUCCCAGCUACUCAGGAGGCUGAGGCACGAGAAUCACUUGAACCUGGGAGGCGGAGGUUAGUGAGCCGAGAUUGCACCAUUGCACUCCAGCCUGAGCAAGAGUGAAACUCCAUCUUAAACGGUAAUAAUAAUAAAUAAAUAAAAAUUAAGCACGUCCCUGUGAUGAAACCUUCUGAGGGCCAGGUGUGGUGGCUCAUGCCUGUAAUCUCAGCACUUUGGGAGGCCAAAGUGGGCAGAUCACCUAAGGUCAGGAGUUCCAGACCAUCCUGGCCAGCAUGGUGAAACCCCAUCUCUACUAAAAAUAGAAAAAAUUAGCCAGGUGUGGUGGCAGGCACCUGUAAUCCUGCUACUCGGGAAGCUGAGGCAGGAGAAUCGCUUGAACGUGGGAGGCGAAGGUUGCAGUGAGCCGAGAUCACGCCAUUGCACUCCAGCCUGGGCAACAGAGCAAGAUUCUGUCUCAAAAAUAAAUAAAUAAAUAAAAUAAAAUAAAAGUGCACCUAACAAAUGAGUAAGAGAAAUAUCAACAAUUUAGGGGAAAUAACAGGCAGGCUAUGGUGGACAGACAGGAACGGAGUUUUAAGCAUAGGAAAAGGUACUCAUCACUCAUAGUGAAACAAUUGUAAAUAAAAUAUACACUGAGAUACAACUUUUUACCUAUCAAGCAGUCACAGAUUGAAAAGUUUGUUACCACAGUGGAGAAGAGGGUAAAGAAACUGGCAUGCUCAUACUGUGUUACUGGAAGUGAAAUUGGAGAAAUCGCUAUGGAGAUUAGGUACUUAGCCGUAGCUAUCAAAGUUACAGUUGCAAUUACCAUUUUAUCUUGCAGUUCCACUCCUAAGAAUUUACCCUGCAGUUAGUCUCAGACAAAUGUGAAAUAAUGUAUUGCAAAGUUGUUUGAUGCAAAAUUAGAAUUAACCUGAAUAUCAAGCAACAGGUGGUUAAAAUUGUCUGGCAGAUCCAUAAGAUAUUUUUCUAUAUAGCUGUAAAAAGGAAUGAUAUCGCAUUUUGUGUACUGAUGGGAAAUAAUCUCCAGUAUACAUUAUUAAGUGAAAAAAGACAAAGUGUAUAUUAAGUGAAAAAAGACAAACAGUGUGUACAGUAGUCUGCCUUUUAUGUAAAAACAUAAUGGAGAACACACUGUACACAAAAAAUAACAUGGAUCAAAGACCUAAAUGUAAGAGCUAAAACAUAAAAUCCUUAGAAGAAAACACACUUUAUGCACAAGUGAUUAAAGAAAAUUGAGAAGUUGGGCUUAAUCAAAAUAAAAAAUGUUUGUGUUUCAAACCCAUAUUUAAAAAGUCCCUCCCUCCCUCCCUCCCUCCCUCCCUCCCUCCCUUCCUUUCUUUCCUUUUUUGGGACGGUCUCCCUCUGUUGCCCAGGCUGCAGUGCGGCGGCAUAGCCUUGGCUCACUGCAACCUCCCUGCCUCAGGCUCCUGUGAUUCUCCUGCCUCGACCUGCCGAAUGCCUGGGAUUGCAGGUGGCGCACGCCACCAUGCCUGGCUGGUUUUUGUGUUUUUGGUGGAGAUGGGGUUUCACCGUGUUGGCCAGGCUGGUCUCCAACUCCUGACCUCGAGUGAUCUGCCCGCCUCGGCCUCCCGAAGUGCUGGGAUUACAGACGGAGUCUCGCUCACUCAAUGCUCAAUGUUGCCCAGGCUGGAGUGCAGUGGCGUGAUCUCGGCUCGCUACAACCUCUACCUCCCAGCCGCCUGCCUUGGCCUCCCAAAGUGCUAAGAUUACAGCCUCUGCCCGGUCGCCACCCCAUCUAGGAAGUGAGGAGCGUCUCCGCCUGGCCGUCCCGUCUGGGAAGUGAGGAGCACCUCUGCCCGGCCACCCUGUCUGGGAAGUGAGGAGCGCCUCUGCCUGGCCGCUGUGCAACCUUCCAAGUGUGAAGUGACAGCCUUCGUUGUAGAAUGAAUGAAGACACUGGCACUGAUUAUAUAACACCUUGGCAGCUAUCUCAAGUCAUUGAUGGUGGAGGUAUUGGAAUUAUAGAAGAAAGCAAACACACAAAUUUGACUAAAGGCGAUUUUGUGACUUCUUUCUAUUGACCCCGGCAAACCAAGGUUAUUCUGGAUGGAAAUAGCCUUGAAAAGGUGAUAUACAUAUGAACGUAUCUGAUUUUUUUUCUCCGUAUAAUUCUUACUUUGUGCAUUUGAUAUUCAGUUGUGUUUGUAAUCACGGAAAAAUAAAAGCAUAUAAAAAAAAAAGUCAAAAGAAAAUUUGUAGACUGGGCCAGGCGUGGUGGCUCACGCCUGUAAUCCCAGCACUUUGGGAGGCCGAGGCGGGUGGAUCACGAGGUCAGGAGAUUGAGACCAUCCUGGCUAAGAUGGUGAAACCCCGUCUUUACUAAAAAUACAAAAAAAACUAGCCAGGCGAGGUGGUGGGCACCUGUAGUCCCAGCUACUCAGAAGGCUGAGGGGUGGAGCUUGCAGUGAGCCAAGAUCGCGCUGCUGCACUCCAGCCUGGGCGACGAGACUCCGUCUCAGAAAAAAAAAAAAAAAAAAAAAGAAAAUCUGUAGACUGGCUGGGCACAGUGGCUCAUGCCUGUAAUCCCACACUUUGGGAGGCCGAAGUGGGUGGAUCACCCGAGGUCUGGAGUUAGAGACCAGCCUGGCCAACAUGGCAAAACCCAGUCUUUACUAAAAAUACAAAAUUAGCCAGGCGUGGCGGUGAGCGCCUGUAAUCCCAGCUACUUGGGAGACUGAGGCAGGAGAAUCGCUUGAACCUGGGAGGUGGAGAUUGUAGUGAGCCAAGAUUGCGCCGUUGCACACCCACCUGGGCAACGAGUGAAACUCCAUCUCAAAAAAAAAGAAGAAAAAAUCUAUAGACUGGAAGAAAAUAUUUGCAAAUCAUAUAUCUGAUAAGGGACUUGUGUCCAAAUAUAUAAAGAACUCAUAUUACAAUUCAACAAUAAAAAGGCAACCCAAUUAAAAAAUGGGCAAAGGAUUUGAAUGGACAUUUCUGCAAACAAGGCAUAUGAAUGGCCAAUAAGCACGCAAAAAGAUGCUCAACAGUUGUUAGGGAAAUGCAAAUCAAAACCAUGAUGUGAUACACUUCACAUUCAUUAGAAUGGCUAGAAUAAAGAAGGCAAACAGUAACAAAUAUUGACAAGGAUGUGGAAAAGGUGGAGCCCUCAUAUGUUCCUGGUGGGAAUGUGAAAUAAUGCAGUUGCUUUGGAAAAGUUUGACAGUUUCUCAAAACGUUAAACAUAGAAUUGCCAUAUGGUCCAGCAAUUCUCUUAAGUAUCUACCUCAAAGAAAUGAAAACAUAUGUUCACACUCUCCUACAAAUGUUCAUGUCAGCAUUAUUUAAUAGUCAAAAAGUAGAAAUGACCCAAAAUGUCUGUCAGUUGAUGGAUUGAUAAAGUAUGGUAUGUCAUUCUGUAUAUGACAUGUCCAGUAUAGCCAAAUCUAUAUAGACAAACUAGAGCAGUAGUUGCUUGUGGCUGGGAGUGAGAAUGGGUUGGGAGGAAUGAGGAGUGACUGCUGAUGGGUACUUCUGGGGACAAUAAAAAUGUUCCAAAGUGAGUUUACAAUGAUGAUUGUACAGUUGUGUAAACGUAUUAGAAACCAUUGUAAAGUGUAAAUGGGUGGAUUUUAUGAUAUGUAAAUUAUAUCUCAAGCUUUUUAAGAAAAAUUGUAUGUGCAUAUACAUUUGCUUUUAUAUACACAGAAUGUUGCCUCUGUGGUUAGAAAUUGGGUGGCCUGGAAUAGGAAUAUAAGGAAGACUACAUCACAUCCUUUUUUUUUUUUUUUUCCUUUUUCUACAUGUUCUAAACCAUAUCCUUUUCUACUUUUUGGAUUUUGAAUCUUAUAUAUUACUGAUACAGAAGACAAAUAAUCAUCUGUGGCCCUAAAUGCCGACUGUUCUUCUCUGCCUCACCUUAUCCCCACAAUUGCAGGAUUGUAUAUAUUGAAUUCAAGUCAAGCCGAGGCAGAGAGAGCCUUGGAAGAAAAGCAGGGAAUGGAGAUUGAUGGGCUUGCCAUAGUUCUUGACCAUAUUGGAGAGAAAAGCCAGGGCCAAGAAACUAGAGAUAGAAAGAACAGCACCUGGAGAGGUGAGGGGUCCCAGAGCUCUGUGGAUUGAGAUUUACCAGGGUUGUCACAGGGGGAUCCCAAGGGAUCGUCUGGUAUGAGGUUAGGGGUACUUGGCACUUUAUUUUUUUAUUAUUAUUUUGAGAUAGGGUCUCACUCCCUUUGCCCAGGCAGGAGUGCAGUGGCACAAUCAUGGCUCAUGUCAGUCUCGAUUUCCUGGGCUCAGGUGAUCCUCCUACCUCAGCCUCCCGAGUAGCUGGACUACAGAUGGGAAGGCUACUCAGCACUUUAUUUUUUAUUUUAUUUUUUUAUUUUUAUUUAUUUAUUUUUUUAGACGGAGUCUCGCUCUGUUGCCCAGGCUGGAGUGCAGUGGCACCAUCUCGGCUCACUGCAACCUCUGCCUCCUGGGUUCAAGCUAUUCUCCUGCCUCAGCUUCCCGAGUAGCUGGGAUUACAGGUGCCCGCCACCACACCUGGCCGAGAUCACACCACUGCACUCCAGCCUGGGUAACAGAGACAGACCUCUUAUCUCAAAGCAAAAAAAAGGAAACCCAUCAGUUUAUUUUUUCUUUUUUGGGCACCCUCUAGGAUUUUGUUUGAACAAGCUCUUAUAUCUGUGGUUUCAGAAUUAGAUAUUUAAUUCUCUUCAGAUAUUAAUUUUCUUCAAGUAGUGUUUUUGCAGGUUUAAACGAGUGACCCCAAACCAGUGUCCCUAAUUUGCCUUAUCUGAUCGGCAAACAUGUUGGCUUAUACAAUAAGAGACCAUUGAAUUUGUUAUGAGUAUUUCAAAAAAUCAAAAAAUUUCACAUAAACCCCUGGAUUUCCAGCUUCUUUUGAUACAACAGAAAAUCUGCCCAGGUGCAGUGGUUCACACUUGUAAUCCCAGCACUUUGGGAGGCUGAGGUGGGUGGAUAGCUUGAGCCCUGGAGUUCAAGACCAGCCUGGGCAACAUGGAGAGACCCUGUCUGUACAAAAAAAAACUAAAAUUAGUUGGGCAUGGUGUUGCAUACCUGUAGUCCUAGCUAACUCAGGAGACUGAGGUAGGAGGAUUGCCUGAGCCUGGGAGGUUGGGGCUACAGUGAGCCAUGAUGGUGCCACUGCACUCCAGCCGAGGGGACAGAGUGAGACCCUAUCUGUCUCAAAGAAAAAGGAAAGAAAAUCUGGUGGCACCGUGGCUGCAUUCCCACAUGGCAGCAGUUGGCUGGCAAUGAGAAGUAGCUGCUUCCUUUUAGGUGUGGCCAUUGCUCUUGUUUGCUGGUAACCCCCACAGUUCCUGAGGGUCUCCCCACCAACAGUGGUGGGAACAGCACAACACUUGGCACUUUUAAACAUAGAGUUAAUACUUUUUUCUUAGAAAAUAGCCCUUUUUUUAAUAGUAAAGAUGACAUGGCUGGGCAUGGUGGCUCAUGCCUGUAAUCCCAGCACUGUGGGAGGCUGAGGAGGGCAGAUGAUGAGGUCAGGAGUUCGAAACCAGCCUGGCCAACAUGGUGAAACCCCGUCUCUAACAAAAAUUAGUCGGGCAUGAUGGCGCAUACCUGUAAUCCCAGCUACUCGGAAGGCUGAGGCAGGAGAAUUCCUUGAACCCGAGAGGUGGAGCUUGCAGUGAGCCAAGAUCGCACCACUGCACUCCAGCCCGGGUGACAGAGCGAGACUGCGUCUCAGGGGGAAAAAAAAGAUGACAUUUUGAUAUUUCUUAUGCAUUUUUCUCUUCCACAAGUGGAAAGACAAAGUAUAGAACAAGACAACCACACUUUUCAAGAAAAAUGGGAGAGAGCCUAUUUUUUUGUGGAAGUAAAGAAUGUUCCUACAUUUUUAAUAUGCAAAGUCUGUCUGUGUUGAAAGAGCAUACCCUAAGACACCAUUAUGAAACAAACCAUAGCAAGAACCACGAUGGGUAUACAGAAAAGAUGCGUGACAAAAAACUUAACGAACUGAAAAAAAGACUGAGAUUUCAGCAUGACUUGCUUUUGAAUGUGAAUAAAAUAGGUGAUGCUGCUAUGGAGUGUAGUUAUAUAUUAAGUGAGAAAAUUGCCCGGGCAUCAAAACCUUUUACAGAUGGGGAGUUUAUAAAAGAAUGCUUGUUGAGUGCAGCAGAAAUUAUGUGCCCUGAACAGAGACAAGCAUUUGCAAAUAUAAGACUAACUGGUAAUAUUGUUGCUCAGCAUGUUGAUGAUAUGGCUGAAAACUUACAGGACAGGUUUCAGGAAAAAGUGAAAUCAUUUGUGGCUUUCUCUAUCACAGCUCAUGGGAACACUGAUAUAAAUAAUGCUCCCCAGUUGGCUGUGUUCAUUCGUGGUGUUGAUGAAACUUUUGAUGUGACCGAAGAACUUUUAAAUAUGGUACCCAUAACAGGCACAGCAUCAGGAAAUGACAUAUUUUUAUGUGUUGAGAAAAGUCUUAAAAAAUUUAAUGUAGACUGGUCAAAAUUAGUAAGUGUUAGCACAGAUGGUAAUUCUGCAAUGGUUGGUGUUAAACAACUUGUUAUAAAACUAAAUCUAAGGUGGCAGGGCUUUGCAAAGGCACAGAACUUAAGUGUGUGCAUGGCCUCAUUCUCCAGGAAUCACUUUGUGCUAAAAAGUUAAAAAUGGAUCACGUCAUGGACAUAGUAAUUUACAGCAUAACCUGGAUACAUUCCCAUGGCUCAAACCACAGAAAGUUCAACACUUUGUUCAGUGAGUUAGAUGCACAAUAUGGAAGCCUGUUCUGUGACAUGGAAGUGAAGUGGCUGAGUCGUGGUAUAGUGCUAAAGCAGUUUUUUGAACUGUUGGAAGAAAUUGACUUUUUCAUGUCCUCUAAAGGAAAAUCUGUGCCUCAGCUCACUAGCAAAAAUUGGGUCAAAGACAGCCUUUUUGAUUGACAUUACAACACAUCUAAAUACAUUGGAUAUUUCUCUGCAAAGACAUUCACAAGUGGUUACACAAAUGUAUGAUUCAAUUCACUAAUUCCUAGCAAAAUUGUGUUGUUGGGAAACUCAUUUGACAAGGAACAAUCUGGCCCACUUCCCUACACUGAAAUUAGUUUCUGAAAAUGAAAGCAAUGGCCUGAACUAUAUUCCAAAAAUUAAAGAAUUGAAGACUGAAUUCCAAAAAAGAUUCUCCGAUUUCAAACUUUAUGAAAAUGAACUGAUAUUGUUCAGUUCAUCUUUCAUGAUGAAUAUUAAUCAUGUGAAUGCAGAGCUGCAAAUGGAAGUUAUUGAAUUGCAGUGCAACACUAUACUGAAAACUAAAUAUGAUGAUGUGGGAAUCCCAGAAUUCUACAAAUUCCUAGGUAAUGGUUACCCUAAAUAUAAAAAACAUUGUGCAAAGAUUCUGUGCAUGUUUGGAAAUACCUAUGUUUAUGAGCAGCUAUUUUCUCUUAUGAAACUAAGUAAAACUAAAUAUUGCUCCCAGUUAAAGGAAAGAUGAAUUGUCUGCUGCAUGUUGCUAUGCAAGAUUCACAACCUGACGCUGAUUGAUAUCUUGGGCCCUAAGAAAGGAAUGUUAGAUUUCGGAUUUCAAAUCUGAGAAGUAAUAAAUUAUGAAACUUGGGAUAAUUAUUUCUAUUUUCAAAUUAUAUUUUUUCAAUAUGAAGUUUAGAGUACAAUCUCUGGCAUUAUAUAUGUUUGUUAAGUCUUAUACCAUAUAAAAUAAAGUUGGAUUAUACUUUUGGUGGUUUUUU